rnacentral:rRNA from 1 species
AACGAACGUUGGCGGCGUGGAUUAGGCAUGCAAGUCGCACGAGAAAGGCUUCUUCGGAAGCCGAGUAAAGUGGCGAACGGGUGAGUAAUGCAUAGACAACUCACCCUUGAGAUGGGGGACAACGCCUCGAAAGGGGUGCUAAUACCCAAUGCCGCCUUGGGCCUGCGGGUCCGGGUGAAAGGAGGCCUCUGAUUCAAGCUUCCGCUCAAGGAGAGGUUUAUGGUCCUAUUAGCUAGUUGGCGGGGUAACGCCCACCAAGGCUGCGAUGGGUAGCCGAUCUGAGAGGGUGACCGGCCACAUUGGGACUGAGAUACUGCCCAGACUCCUACGGGAGGCUG